GACGAACGCUGGCGGCGUGCUUAACACAUGCAAGUCGAACGGAAAGGCCCUGCUUUUGUGGGGUGCUCGAGUGGCGAACGGGUGAGUAACACGUGAGUAACCUGCCCUUGACUUUGGGAUAACUUCAGGAAACUGGGGCUAAUACCGGAUAGGAGCUCCUGCUGCAUGGUGGGGGUUGGAAAGUUUCGGCGGUUGGGGAUGGACUCGCGGCUUAUCAGCUUGUUGGUGGGGUAGUGGCUUACCAAGGCUUUGACGGGUAGCCGGCCUGAGAGGGUGACCGGCCACAUUGGGACUGAGAUACGGCCCAGACUCCUACGGGAGGCAGCAGUGGGGAAUAUUGCACAAUGGGCGGAAGCCUGAUGCAGCAACGCCGCGUGCGGGAUGACGGCCUUCGGGUUGUAAACCGCUUUCGCCUGUGACGAAGCGUGAGUGACGGUAAUGGGUAAAGAAGCACCGGCUAACUACGUGCCAGCAGCCGCGGUGAUACGUAGGGUGCGAGCGUUGUCCGGAUUUAUUGGGCGUAAAGGGCUCGUAGGUGGUUGAUCGCGUCGGAAGUGUAAUCUUGGGGCUUAACCCUGAGCGUGCUUUCGAUACGGGUUGACUUGAGGAAGGUAGGGGAGAAUGGAAUUCCUGGUGGAGCGGUGGAAUGCGCAGAUAUCAGGAGGAACACCAGUGGCGAAGGCGGUUCUCUGGGCCUUUCCUGACGCUGAGGAGCGAAAGCGUGGGGAGCGAACAGGCUUAGAUACCCUGGUAGUCCACGCUGUAAACGGUGGGUACUAGGUGUGGGGUCCAUUCCACGGGUUCCGUGCCGUAGCUAACGCUUUAAGUACCCCGCCUGGGGAGUACGGCCGCAAGGCUAAAACUCAAAGGAAUUGACGGGCCCCGCACAAGCGGCGGAGCAUGCGGAUUAAUUCGAUGCAACGCGUAGAACCUUACCUGGGUUUGACAUGGAUCGGGAGCGCUCAGAGAUGGGUGUGCCUCUUUUGGGGUCGGUUCACAGGUGGUGCAUGGCUGUCGUCAGCUCGUGUCGUGAGAUGUUGGGUUAAGUCCCGCAACGAGCGCAACCCUUGUUCACUGUUGCCAGCACGUUAUGGUGGGGACUCAGUGGAGACCGCCGGGGUCAACUCGGAGGAAGGUGGGGAUGACGUCAAGUCAUCAUGCCCCUUAUGUCCAGGGCUUCACGCAUGCUACAAUGGCUGGUACAGAGAGUGGCGAGCCUGUGAGGGUGAGCGAAUCUCGGAAAGCCGGUCUCAGUUCGGAUUGGGGUCUGCAACUCGACCUCAUGAAGUCGGAGUCGCUAGUAAUCGCAGAUCAGCAACGCUGCGGUGAAUACGUUCCCGGG
rnacentral:rRNA from 1 species